rnacentral:rRNA from 1 species
AGUGAACGCUGGCGGUAGGCCUAACACAUGCAAGUCGAACGGCAGCACAGUAAGAGCUUGCUCUUACGGGUGGCGAGUGGCGGACGGGUGAGGAAUACAUCGGAAUCUACUUUUUCGUGGGGGAUAACGUAGGGAAACUUACGCUAAUACCGCAUACGACCUACGGGUGAAAGCAGGGGAUCUUCGGACCUUGCGCGAUUGAAUGAGCCGAUGUCGGAUUAGCUAGUUGGCGGGGUAAGGGCCCACCAAGGCGACGGUCCGUAGCUGGUCUGAGAGGAUGAUCGGCCACACUGGAACUGAGACACGGUCCAGACUCCUACGGGAGGCAGCAGUGGGGAAUAUUGGACAAUGGGCGCAAGCCUGAUCCAGCCAUACCGCGUGGGUGAAGAAGGCCUUCGGGUUGUAAAGCCCUUUUGUUGGGAAAGAAAAGCAGCAGGUUAAUACCCCGCUGUUCUGACGGUACCCAAAGAAUAAGCACCGGCUAACUUCGUG